rnacentral:rRNA from 1 species
CCUACGGGAGGCAGCAGUGAGGAAUAUUGGUCAAUGGACGCAAGUCUGAACCAGCCAUGCCGCGUGCAGGAAGACGGCUCUAUGAGUUGUAAACUGCUUUUGUACGAGGAUAAACGCAGAUACGUGUAUCUGUCUGAAAGUAUCGUACGAAUAAGGAUCGGCUAACUCCGUGCCAGCAGCCGCGGUAAUACGGAGGAUUCGAGCGUUAUCCGGAUUUAUUGGGUUUAAAGGGUGCGUAGGCGGUCUGUUAAGUUAGUGGUGAAAUCCCGCGGCUCAACUUCGGAAUUGCCUUUGAUACUGGUAGGCUUGAGAGUAGUUGCGGUAGGCGGAAUGUAUGGUGUAGCGGUGAAAUGCUUAGAUAUCAUGCAGAACACCGAUUGCGAAGGCAGCUUACCAAGCUGCUUCUGACGUUGAGGCACGAAAGCGUGGGGAGCAAACAGGAUUAGAUACCCCGGUAGUC